GACGAACGCUGGCGGCGUGCUUAACACAUGCAAGUCGAACGGGGCUCAUCGCUUCGGUGGUGGGUCUAGUGGCGAACGGGUGAGUAACACGUGGGCAACCUGCCCCCGGCUCUGGGAUAACUCCAAGAAAUUGGGGCUAAUACCGGAUGUGACCGCUGGCCGCAUGGUCUGGUGGUGGAAAGGGUUGCCGGCGGGGGAUGGGCCCGCGGCCUAUCAGCUUGUUGGUGGGGUAGUGGCCUACCAAGGCGACGACGGGUAGCCGGCCUGGGAGGGUGACCGGCCACACUGGGACUGAGACACGGCCCAGACUCCUACGGGAGGCAGCAGUGGGGAAUAUUGCGCAAUGGGCGGAAGCCUGACGCAGCGACGCCGCGUGGGGGAUGACGGCCUUCGGGUUGUAAACCUCUUUCAGCAGGGACGAAGCCGCGAGGUGACGGUACCUGCAGAAGAAGCACCGGCCAACUACGUGCCAGCAGCCGCCGUAA
rnacentral:rRNA from 1 species